ensembl:lncRNA
CCCGUGUUCUGUUACUGCACGGGAUGCAGUAAGCACCUUCAUAAUGUCACAGUCUGGGUGGCAGUGAAUCGGUGGCUCCCCUGGGGAAGGUCCUGGGGGCAGGGAAGUUGGCAGUGCCUCCAGGUCCCAGCAUGGUCCUGUGAGCUGCAGGGGCAGAUCUUGGCCAGGAGCAGCUGUCACUGCUCCAUUGAGCUGAUGAAUCUGUGACAUCGGUAAGGAACGAGCCCUAUAACUUUGGCUGCGAACACCGAUGACAGAGCAUUGAUGUGACCAUCCACAAAAAGAGGAUUCUAAGAUCCGCCUGCUGGGGAGCUGGGGCAGAGUAAGGCCAAGUGACUCUGCAAAGUAUGCUCUGAUGAAGUGGCAGUCAGGCGACAAGCAGCUCAGCAAACAAGAUCUUCCAGAGGCCUUGAAUCCCGAUGAUGUGGAAACAUAUAAAAGCCAAGCAUAUUACCUGUGAUGGCUGGACGUGAAGGUUAUUAACUUCCUAGAGUGCACGCUCAGGGGACAGACAGACAGACUUCCACCAGGAAUGCUCCACCUGAGAUUUCAUGCUCAGACAACUGUAGCAAUACAAAACAGAUGAGGUUGAGCCAGGAGAAAGCAGAUCUUUCAUGGAUGGGAUCCCCUGCACCAAUUCCAACUUGUUGUUCUUGACACUAAAGCUACUCUGAAGUAUUCCUUAAAGCUUGGCUUGUUUUCUAAACCAGCUAGGAGGAAGAUGCCAUCAGCCACUUCAUGCCUCUACAACUGCACUCCAUUUGCUCAAACCAGCUUAAAAAUAAGUCUUUUGAAUAUCUUCCAUCUUGAAAUAUUUCAAGAGAAAAAGGCAAGUAUCGCUGUUUCCUGUCAUUCAUAACUUUCUGAAAUAACAAAUGGAAACCUGGAGACACCAUCCACCGCUGGAUGACACCAUCCAUUUCCUUAAAAGUGGAAUUGGACCAUUUACCAGCUCCGGCAAGGGAGCAUCCUUUGAAGUCUGUAUCCUUCUAGAAAGGACGUUUCUCUUUUGCUGCAGAAGAUGGAUCAUACACCACCACGCACCAUUGCACGUGUAGAAAAUGGAUCCAACUGGCUACGGAGGGACUGGAGGAGAACUGACACAAGAAGAUCACAUGUUUUCCAGGCUCCCUCCUUCUCUAUGGAGAAUACAAACUUCUUUUUCUUUUUUCCCAAAUUAUAAGUUCUCCAGGGGGAAUUUUAUAGGGAUUUUUCUUCGUCGCUCUCUCUUCUUGAUUUUAAUGCACGAAGAAAUAAUUCAUGUCCAGGGAAAGUUGUUCUGAAUCUCACAGGAUUUUGAAUAUUGAUCUAAACAAAGUUUGUUUUUUAUACAGGAGCUGUAACAAGCUAUAUAUUCAACAAAUGCAACACUGUGAUUGGAACAGAGCUAAAAAGUUUGCAUACAUAAAAAAUACAAGGAAAUAAUAAAGCCAUGAGUUCUGCAGUUACUUCAGAUCUUUAUGUUCCUUCAGCUAGUAUCACAGUUAUCAAAGGGUUAACUGGUGAGAAUUAUGGAUCGUGUAUUCAAUACCAUACAAGCAUUACACAAAAACAUCUAAUUGUGCAUUUGGCUUCAUAGUAGCUACAGUCCAACCCUACAAUUUUUAUUCAGUCCCCACUAGCUAACAUAGGAUCUUUGCCUAAACAACCAUAAGAGCAGAUGUUCUAUAGCCGUAAUUAAACAUAAUUAAAUAUUGUGUGACAAAGUCUUAUUUGCAUGUAAGAGGCCCUAAGUCCUCAAAAAGACACAGCAGGACUGUUUGAGGAAGAGCGACUGAUCCAUACAAUAAGACGAUAAAAGUUUGCGCUCUGGGCAUUUUUGCUUAAGACUCUGUUUGAAUGCUUUAAUUUGCAAAGUAUGAGACAGAUUAUUUGCUUUAUUUUAAAAUACGUUUUAGGGCUGUGUUUAUUAAAUGGUAUGGUUCUAUCUGAAAUAUACAUGUUCGUGUUUUACAGCAAAACAAACUAGUAAUAAGAGAGAAAGAAGUGAUGGCAUCUCGUGCCUGCAGGACUACAAAGCUGGAUAUAAUGCGGCUUCCUUUCCCAAACAGUGGAAAAAAUAACUCAGAAGAACUUAAGCAAACAAGCUUUGAAAGAAUUCAACUUUUCCAGUCAAAUAAUGCUCUUUUAUUGGGUCUGUAAACACUAGGAUCUGUCUCUCAUAAGCGAAUUUAGCUUCAACAAAGGUAUUUAAUUGUUUACUGUAAAUAACAGCUUUAAAUAGGCAUUUAAAACCCAAAAGAAUCACGUUUCAAGUUAAACAACCUAAAAAAAAAAGAUGGCUGUCAAGAACUCUUGUCUUUUAGACCAUGAACUUUGACACUGCCCUUUAGUCAUAAGUCUAAGAAUAAAAAAUUAAAAAAAAACAACAAAAAAAAGAACUAUGUGCUACAACUGCAUUUCCUGUAACAUAUGUUCAUGAUUGAGGUAUUUAACCAGCACAGGAUGUGCUCAGACAGAGCGGAAAUGCCCCUCUGCAGCAGCCAGCUGAGCUCCCAAAAUAAAGUGCCGAGGAGUUUGCCAACCACAAUGCGAUGAAGGCUCCGCUUCCCACUCCAGCAGGGGGGUUUUAACAUGGUGAUGAGAUGAAUGAAUAUUUGCUUAAUAAUGUUGAUACUUCUGAUGGAAGAAAACGGUAGAGAUAUUCCUUUAAAGGCUCCAGAUGAUGCAAGCCUGCAAACAGAUCAAUUUCCUAUUUGUCUGAAGAUGUGGGAAGCAUGAAGCACUAGUAGCAGGAAGGAGUAAAAAAGGACUAUGGAGAGAGGUGCUUGUACUGAUGCUGAACCCUAAAUAAAGCCACAUGCAUGGUGGCUACUGAAAAAUAUUACUUCUGAAGAAAAUUUAUAGAAACAGCCUGGAAACAGAACAGCCUAUAGAAACAGAAAAAUAAAGCUGUUAAGUCAGUAGAGAAACUUCAGCUCUGCCACAUUAAUGCCCUGCUGCCUCGUGUGCUCAGUGCUGGAGUGCAGCCAGCAAGGCAGGGGAAGGGAUGGCUCGCAAUUGUGGUGCCACAUCUGAAGCACUGCAUCCUGUCCUGGCCUCCCAGAACAAGAAGAGACUUUUCAGCCAUCUGGAAUCCUUCCAGCAUGAGGCCACAAGGAUGGAUGAGGGGCUAGAGCCCAUGAAAUAAAAGGAGAGGCCGAGAAAGCUGGCAAAGUCAGCCUGGAAAGGAGCAGGGUGUGGAGGUAUCAGCUUGUGGCCUCCGUUAACCUGAUGGGGGAGCUGCAAAGGAGAUGGGCCAGACACUCCUCGGUGGUACCCAGGGUGAAAAUGAGGGGAAAAGGACAUGUGUUGCUGCAAGGAGCAGCAUGAGAGGACAUGAGAAGUAAAAUGAUGCAGAAGAGCAUCUAAGCGUUAGGGUGGGUCACCCAGAAGAAAGAGGUGAAUACCUACCAUACUGGAAGCUAUUCAGAACUGAACUGGAGAAAGACCUGUGCUAUCUGACCUAGCUGCAGGUAGCCUGGCUUUGAGCAGAGACUUGGACUGGAGGGGUCUUGAGGUCCCUUCUGACCUUGGUUAUUCCACGGCUCUGCUCAGCAAUGAGGUGAAAUGGUUGAGUUCCACGUGGUAGGGAGCACGAACACUUCACUGCUGUGAGCUGGGCUUGGAAGAGAGAUGCAUCACACAACAAGAGCUACCUGCUAGAGGAAGCUAGCCAAAUUUGGCACCCGCCUGUAGCCAGUCUUCUAGCUAAUACAAAGCUAACUAUUUCUGAGAGACAAGAUUUAAAGAUACAGAUGAUGACAUAGAUAUAGAUGAUGACAUAGAUGAUAAUACAGAUAAUGAUACAGACAUAGACAUAAAGAUAUGUAUGAUGUACAUAGAUAUAGGUAUAUGUAUAGGUACACACGUGCAUAUAAAUAUAUAUAUAGCCAUGCUGCCAAAAGCUGUUUCACUGGAAUGAAUGGCACCUCCACAAAAAUCAUCUGACCUGUCAUCCUGAAACCAGAGGCAAACAGGAGUGAUCCAUACCUGAUUUUUAGGCAGAGGGUGUUUUUACACUGCAGAGCUGAAAAGUGAAACAAGU